UAGGGAAUCUUCCACAAUGGACGCAAGUCUGAUGGAGCAACGCCGCGUGAGUGAAGAAGGUCUUCGGAUCGUAAAGCUCUGUUGUUGGUGAAGAAGGAUAGAGGCAGUAACUGGUCUUUACUUGACGGUAAUCAACCAGAAAGUCACGGCUAACUACGUGCCAGCAGCCGCGGUAAUACGUAGGUGGCAAGCGUUGUCCGGAUUUAUUGGGCGUAAAGCGAGCGCAGGCGGAAUGAUAAGUCUGAUGUGAAAGCCCACGGCUCAACCGUGGAACUGCAUCGGAAACUGUCAUUCUUGAGUGCAGAAGAGGAGAGUGGAACUCCAUGUGUAGCGGUGGAAUGCGUAGAUAUAUGGAAGAACACCAGUGGCGAAGGCGGCUCUCUGGUCUGCAACUGACGCUGAGGCUCGAAAGCAUGGGUAGCGAACAGGAUUAGAUACCCUGGUAGUCCAUGCCGUAAACGAUGAGCGCUAGGUGUUGGGGACUUUCCGGUCCUCAGUGCCGCAGCAAACGCAUUAAGCGCUCCGCCUGGGGAGUACGACCGCAAGGUUGAAAC
rnacentral:rRNA from 1 species